rnacentral:rRNA from 1 species
CCUACGGGCGGCAGCAGUGAGGAAUAUUGGUCAAUGGACGAGAGUCUGAACCAGCCAAGUAGCGUGAAGGAUGACUGCCCUAUGGGUUGUAAACUUCUUUUAUAUGGGAAUAAAAUGUUACACGUGUGGGAUUUUGUAUGUACCAUAUGAAUAAGGAUCGGCUAACUCCGUGCCAGCAGCCGCGGUAAUACGGAGGAUCCGAGCGUUAUCCGGAUUUAUUGGGUUUAAAGGGAGCGUAGGUGGAUUGUUAAGUCAGUUGUGAAAGUUUGCGGCUCAACCGUAAAAGUGCAGUUGAAACUGGCAGUCUUGAGUACAGUAGAGGUAGGCGGAAUUCGUGGUGUAGCGGUGAAAUGCUUAGAUAUCACGAAGAACUCCGAUUGCGAAGGCAGUUCACUGGACUGCAACUGACACUGAGGCUCGAAAGUGUGGGUAUCAAACAGGAUUAGAUACCCUUGUAGUC